rnacentral:lncRNA from 1 species
AUGAGAUGGGUGAUAGAUCUACAAGAUAAAGCACUGGAUUGCUUCGAGACAGAGGGGUUACUCUCUCAGGCUGAGACUGUGCCACCAACUGUGCAGUUUCAUUACAGCAUCUGUGUUGCAGUCCUGCCUUGCACUGGUGGCAUGCU